AACGAACGCUGGCGGCAUGCCUAACACAUGCAAGUCGAACGAAGUCUUCGGACUUAGUGGCGCACGGGUGCGUAACGCGUGGGAAUCUGCCCUUGGGUGCGGAAUAACUUCUCGAAAGGGAUGCUAAUACCGCAUAAUGUCGUAAGACCAAAGAUUUAUCGCCCAAGGAUGAGCCCGCGUAAGAUUAGCUAGUUGGUGGGUAAAAGCCUACCAAGGCGACGAUCUUUAGCUGGUCUGAGAGGAUGAUCAGCCACACUGGGACUGAGACACGGCCCAGACUCCUACGGGAGGCAGCAGUGGGGAAUAUUGGACAAUGGCGAAAGCCUGAUCCAGCAAUGCCGCGUGAGUGAUGAAGGCCCUAGGGUUGUAAAGACUCUUUUACCCGGGAUGAUAAUGACAGUACCGGGAGGAAUAAGA
rnacentral:rRNA from 1 species